UACGGAGGGUGCAAGCGUUGUCCGGAUUUAUUGGGUUUAAAGGGUGCGUAGGCGGCUCUUUAAGUCAGUGGUGAAAUACUGCAGCUCAACUGUAGCAUUGCCAUUGAUACUGAAGAGCUUGAGUACAGAUGAGGUAGGCGGAAUUUAUGGUGUAGCAGUGAAAUGCAUAGAUACCAUAAAGAACACCGAUUGCGAAGGCAGCUUACUAGCUGUAACUGACGCUGAGGCACGAAAGCGUGGGGAGCGAACAGG
rnacentral:rRNA from 1 species